rnacentral:rRNA from 1 species
GAUAUUGUCCCUAUCAUAUUAAACAAAUAAAGAAUUUUAAGAAUCAAGUCAAGUUGCCAAACGCUUUGUCAUCAAUUUAGUGACGCAUAUGAUAUUGUCCCUAUAAUAUAAUAGAAAUAAAUAACUUAAAGGAAUCAAGUCAAGUUGCCAAGACGUAUAUGAUAUUGUCACUAUCAUGUUAUAAAACUAAUGAACUUAACGAAAAAAAGUCAAGUUGCCAAGACGCAUAUGAUAUUGUCCCUAUCAUAUUAAAGAAGUAAAGAACUAAAAGAAAUCAAGUCAAGUUGCCAAUGACGCAUAUGAUAUUGUCCCUAUAUUAUAGAAAUAAAGAACUUAAAGACAUCAAGUCAAGUUGCCAAGACGCAUGUGAUAUUGACCCUAACUAAUUAUAGAAAUAAAGAAAAAGAAAUCAAGUCAAGUUGCCAAGACGUAUAUGAUAUUGUCCCUAUCAUGUUAUAGAAAUAAAGAAUUUUAAGAAAUCAAGUCAAGUUGCCAAGAUGCACAUAAUAUAAUAUUUUAAAAGAAAUAAUAUUUUAUAGAAAUAAUUUGGAAAUUUUAGUGAGUAGGAAGGUACAAUGGUAUGCGUAGAAGUGUUUGGCGUAAGCCUGCAUGGAGCUGCCAGUAGUACAAUAAUUGAAUAAGACCUUGGAGGACUGAAGUGGAGAAGGGUUUCGUAUGAACAGUGGUUGAUCACGAGUUAGUCGGUCCUAAGUUCAAGGCGAAAGCCGAAAAUUUUCAAGUAAAACAAAAAUGCCAAUUAUAUAAACAAAUAAUAAUAAUUUUGAACGAAAGAGAAUAUGGUUCCAAUUCCGUAACCUGUUGAGUAUCCUCUUGUUAUUAAAUAUGGGCCUGGUGCUCAUCCUGGCAACAGGAACGACCAUAAAAAAGCCGUCGAGAGAUAUCGGAAGAGUUUUCUUUUCUGUUUUAUAGCCGUACUACCAUGGAAGUCUUUCGCAGAGAGAUAUGGUAGAUGGGCUAGAAGAGCAUGACAUAUACUGUUGCGUCGAUAUUUUCUCCUCGGACCUUGAAAAUUGAUGGUGGGGACACGCAAACUUCUCAACAGGCCGUACCAAUAUCCGCAGCUGGUCUCCAAGGUGAAGAGCCUCUAGUCGAUAGAAUAAUGUAGGUAAGAAUAAUGCCGGUAACUAGAGGUUGCCCGCAGGGGUCAAUCAGCGGCCCAUUUAUUUGGGACAUGCUGAUGGAUGUACUGCUUUAGCGCCUCGAGCCGUAUUGCCUGCUAAGUGCAUACGCGGAUGACCUGCUUCUCCUGAUCGAUGGAAAUUCCCGAGCCGUGCUAAAGGAAAAAGGAGAGCGGAACUCAUGUGCUAUUUGGUGCCUCGGUUUGGUAUGACACCGCCGUACAUGAAGAUGCCAGGAGGCGACUGUCCUUUUGCCAUAGACUGAUCCUGCUUGGAUGUCUAUCGGUAUGCCAAACAGUGUCCACCGAGGAACUGCAGGUUCUUGCUGGAGCCACCCCGCUUGACUUGGCCGCUACGAAAUUAGGAUCGGGAGAGAACCCAACGGCUGGCUGUGUUCGCUGAGGAGGCGUUCCGCAGAAGAAGGGGAACUUAGUGCUUGUCGGAGCCAAAGAGUGAGGCCGACCGAGCCCUAAUUUUCGGUACCACGGGUUGAGCAGUUCCAAGACUGCUCAUUAAGGUGGGCCCCCUUGUGGGAGUAUCGUGAUGGCUGUGGUUGGUACCCAUAUCGCGGGUAGAGCCUUCGAGCUCGACGUUUGAGUAACGGCGCGGGUUGCUCAACACUCCGGUGCUUUUGAGCUUGACUCUAAUCUGGCAGUGUAAGGAGACAUAAGAGGUGUAGAAUAAGUGGGAGAUAUUAGAUCUCGUUUUGGAAUCGACAAUGAAAUACCACUUCUCUUAUUGUUAACUCUUACUUGAUUAAAUGGAACUUGUAUCAUUUCCUAGCCAUUAUACGGAUAUAUUUAGUGUAUCUUAUAGUAUUGGGUUUUGAUGCAAGCUUCUUGAUCAAAGUAUCACGAGUUUGUUAUAUAAUGGCGAAGAAAUUAUUUAUUAAAACGAAGCAUUUAUGUAUUUUUGAUUUGAAAAUUUGGUAUAACUCCAAUAACUCAGGUAUGAUCCAAUUCAAGGACAUUGCCAGGUAGGGAGUUUGACUGGGGCGGUACAUCUCUCUAAUAAUAACGGAGGUGUCCCAAGGCCAGCUCUGUGCGGACAGAAACCAAACAUAGAGCAAUAGGGCAAAUGCUGAAUUGAUCUCGGUGGCAGGGACAGCAAAAGCUCGGCCUAUCGAUCCUUUUGCUUUAAAGAGUUUUUAACAAGAGGUGUAAGAAAAGAAAAGUUACCAUAGGGAUAACUGGCUUGUGGCGGCCAAGCGUUCAUAGCGAUGUCGCGAUGUCGGCUCUUCCUAUCAUUGUGAAGCAAAAUUCACCAAGCGUUGGAUUGUUCACCCAUGCAAGGGAACGUGAGCUGGUUUAGUUAGUUAGUUAGUUAGUAGACAGGUUAGUUUUACCCUACUAAUGACAAAACGUUGUUGCGACAACAUUCCUGCGUAGUACGAGAGGAACCGCAGGUACGGACCCAUGGCACAAGACUUGUUUCAACGCCUCUAAGGUCGUAUCCGUGCUGGACUGCGAUGAUAAAUAAGGGGCAAUUUGCAUUGU